rnacentral:lncRNA from 1 species
AAAAUCUGAGGCUCUGAUGUCUUAGAUUUUUUUAUUUUCCUCUACCCCAUCUAUAUCAGAUGGACUUUUCUCUGAGGUACUCCUUCAAUCCUUGAUCAGACACCAGGAGGUCUCAGGAUGACUUAGAGCCGUUUCUGAUAUGAUGUCUUUUCCUUGCUGUUUGUCAUAUGGUUAAAUCCUGCAACCUGCACCAUGAAGAAUAUAGAUGUCUGGAAGAAAACAGACCAAGGUGGUCUGUUGCCCUCUGACUGCAGAAAGGCUUACAGGGCUGAAGGGAAAGCUGUGACCUUGUACUACUCGCAUGGCAGGUAUCAGUUUCAAAGAAACUUUCAUCAGAAGAGGUUUGUCAGCCAUCGGAUGGAAUUUCUGGUCGAGACCAGGAGGAGAUGGCAAAGUUGGAGUAUCAGGUAGCGCCGUGAUCGGUCAGGGCACUCACCUGGAAUGUGGAAAAUCAAGGUUCAGGCCUGGGGACUUGAACCUGAGAUUUACAGAGUGCCCUGAACCAGGCUUUGGAGCUGUUUGCUCGCUGUGCAUUUAACUGUUUAUGUAAAGUGCUAGUGAGCAGGAGAUCUCGAGACCUGGUGUGUCCCCGAUGUGUCGGACUGGACAAAGACCUGAGGCAGUCUGUGGGAAAUGGGAGAAAGUGGCAAAGCAGGCAGCACUGUGUGCUUUAAUUUCCCACCUUUUAGAUACUGCCUGCUCAUCUCUCAUUCUUGUGUAUAAAAUUUAAAAAGUCUUGGUCCUGCUGAGGAACGGGGACAUUUGUGAAAUCUCAUGAUUUCACAAAUUUGCAAAGUGCAAAACCUGCUUCUCCCAUCCCACUGCUAUCCUCUUUGCCAUAGAAACUAAUUUCAAAAAUCCACUGAAUUCCUGGGAGCAAACUGUGACUCAUGUAAAAUGAUUUGUCAAUUGCUGGAGAAUUCACUGGAUGUAAGGUUUCUUGUAAGUACAAAAUUGCAGUCUCUUAAUAAGACAGCUUUUAAAAAUAAAACACUUUUUUAAAUUUUAAAAAAUUUUGUA